AUACCCUUAUGUGUGACGCGAUCGGAUAAGACGUCACUUCCGCCAACAUCAUGGGGAUCAGCUGAACGAGAAGUAAUGACAUAAGCCGCACCUGCUAUUGGUGAAAAUCAUAAGGUGGGAACCAAUAAGGAUGAAACCGGUGAUUUAAAAGAAGUAGCAAACAAGGAAAGAACUACUCUGAUUGAAAAAGCCCAAGGACCUGGCGAAACGCGUCUUAGUGAACCAGAUACCAUUUGUAGACAAGUAUUCAUAUUUAAGAACUCAAAACUACUAAGAGUGUCACCGAAAUGAGACUCAAAACUGUUUUUUAUGAAAGCAGAAUAUAGAAAAAUACCUAAUAUGUG